AGAGUUUGAUCAUGGCUCAGAUUGAACGCUGGCGGCAGGCCUAACACAUGCAAGUCGAACGGUAACAGAAAGCAGCUUGCUGCUUUGCUGACGAGUGGCGGACGGGUGAGUAAUGUCUGGGAAACUGCCUGAUGGAGGGGGAUAACUACUGGAAACGGUAGCUAAUACCGCAUAACGUCGCAAGACCAAAGAGGGGGACCUUCGGGCCUCUUGCCAUCGGAUGUGCCCAGAUGGGAUUAGCUUGUUGGUGGGGUAACGGCUCACCAAGGCGACGAUCCCUAGCUGGUCUGAGAGGAUGACCAGCCACACUGGAACUGAGACACGGUCCAGACUCCUACGGGAGGCAGCAGUGGGGAAUAUUGCACAAUGGGCGCAAGCCUGAUGCAGCCAUGCCGCGUGUAUGAAGAAGGCCGUUCGGGUUAGUAAAGUACUUUCAGGCGGGGAGGAAGGGAGUAAAGUUAAUACCUUUGCUCAUUGACGUUACCCGCAGAAGAAGCACCGGCUAACUCCGUGCCAGCAGCCGCGGUAAUACGGAGGGUGCAAGCGUUAAUCGGAAUUACUGGGCGUAAAGCGCACGCAGGCGGUUUGUUAAGUCAGAUGUGAAAUCCCCGGGCUCAACCUGGGAACUGCAUCUGAUACUGGCAAGCUUGAGUCUCGUAGAGGGGGGUAGAAUUCCAGGUGUAGCGGUGAAAUGCGUAGAGAUCUGGAGGAAUACCGGUGGCGAAGGCGGCCCCCUGGACGAAGACUGACGCUCAGGUGCGAAAGCGUGGGGAGCAAACAGGAUUAGAUACCCUGGUAGUCCACGCCGUAAACGAUGUCGACUUGGAGGUUGUGCCCUUGAGGCGUGGCUUCCGGAGCUAACGCGUUAAGUCGACCGCCUGGGGAGUACGGCCGCAAGGUUAAAACUCAAAUGAAUUGACGGGGGCCCGCACAAGCGGUGGAGCAUGUGGUUUAAUUCGAUGCAACGCGAAGAACCUUACCUGGUCUUGACAUCCACGGAAGUUUUCAGAGAUGAGAAUGUGCCUUCGGGAACCGUGAGACAGGUGCUGCAUGGCUGUCGUCAGCUCGUGUUGUGAAAUGUUGGGUUAAGUCCCGCAACGAGCGCAACCCUUAUCCUUUGUUGCCAGCGGUCCGGCCGGGAACUCAAAGGAGACUGCCAGUGAUAAACUGGAGGAAGGUGGGGAUGACGUCAAGUCAUCAUGGCCCUUACGACCAGGGCUACACACGUGCUACAAUGGCGCAUACAAAGAGAAGCGACCUCGCGAGAGCAAGCGGACCUCAUAAAGUGCGUCGUAGUCCGGAUUGGAGUCUGCAACUCGACUCCAUGAAGUCGGAAUCGCUAGUAAUCGUGGAUCAGAAUGCCACGGUGAAUACGUUCCCGGGCCUUGUACACACCGCCCGUCACACCAUGGGAGUGGGUUGCAAAAGAAGUAGGUAGCUUAACCUUCGGGAGGGCGCUUACCACUUUGUGAUUCAUGACUGGGGUGAAGUCGUAACAAGGUAACCGUAGGGGAACCUGCGGUUGGAUCACCU
rnacentral:rRNA from 1 species